CACGUACUGCGCGAACGUUAUUCGGAAUCACUGGGCUUAAAGGGUGCGUAGGCGGUUUUUCAAGUCAGAUGUGAAAUCUCCCGGCUCAACCGGGAAACUGCAUUUGAAACUGAUUAACUUGAGUAAACUAGGGGUGUGCGGAACUGCCAGUGGAGCGGUGAAAUGCGUUGAGAUUGGCAGGAACGCCGGUGGCGAAAGCGGCACACUGGGGUUUUACUGACGCUGAGGCACGAAAGCCAGGGUAGCGAAC
rnacentral:rRNA from 1 species